rnacentral:rRNA from 1 species
UACGUAGGGGGCAAGCGUUGUCCGGAUUUAUUGGGCGUAAAGCGCUCGCAGGUGGUUCAUUGCGUCGUGCGUGAAAGACCCCGGCUCAACUGGGGAGGGUCGUGCGAAACGGGUGAACUAGAGGCCAGUAGGGGGGAUGCGGAAUUCCGGGUGUAGUGGUGGAAUGCGUAGAUAUCUGGAGGAACACCGGUGGCGAAGGCGGCAUCCUGGACCAAUACUGACGCUGAGGAGCGAAAGCCAGGGGAGCAAACGGG